rnacentral:rRNA from 1 species
GAUGAACGCUGGCGGCGUGCCUAAUACAUGCAAGUCGAGCGAACGGACGAGAAGCUUGCUUCUCUGAUGUUAGCGGCGGACGGGUGAGUAACACGUGGAUAACCUACCUAUAAGACUGGGAUAACUUCGGGAAACCGGAGCUAAUACCGGAUAAUAUUUUGAACCGCAUGGUUCAAAAGUGAAAGACGGUCUUGCUGUCACUUAUAGAUGGAUCCGCGCUGCAUUAGCUAGUUGGUAAGGUAACGGCUUACCAAGGCAACGAUGCAUAGCCUACCUGAGAGGGUGAUCGGCCACACUGGAACUGAGACACGGUCCAGACUCCUACGGGAGGCAGCAGUAGGGAAUCUUCCGCAAUGGGCGAAAGCCUGGCGGAGCAACGCCGCGUGAGUGAUGAAGGUCUUCGGAUCGUAAAACUCUGUUAUUAGGGAAGAACAUAUGUGUAAGUAACUGUGCACAUCUUGACGGUACCUAAUCAGAAAGCCACGGCUAACUACGUGCCAGCAGCCGCGGUAAUACGUAGGUGGCAAGCGUUAUCCGGAAUUAUUGGGCGUAAAGCGCGCGUAGGCGGUUUUUUAAGUCUGAUGUGAAAGCCCACGGCUCAACCGUGGAGGGUCAUUGGAAACUGGAAAACUUGAGUGCAGAAGAGGAAAGUGGAAUUCCAUGUGUAGCGGUGAAAUGCGCAGAGAUAUGGAGGAACACCAGUGGCGAAGGCGACUUUCUGGUCUGUAACUGACGCUGAUGUGCGAAAGCGUGGGGAUCAAACAGGAUUAGAUACCCUGGUAGUCCACGCCGUAAACGAUGAGUGCUAAGUGUUAGGGGGUUUCCGCCCCUUAGUGCUGCAGCUAACGCAUUAAGCACUCCGCCUGGGGAGUACGACCGCAAGGUUGAAACUCAAAGGAAUUGACGGGGACCCGCACAAGCGGUGGAGCAUGUGGUUUAAUUCGAAGCAACGCGAAGAACCUUACCAAAUCUUGACAUCCUUUGACAACUCUAGAGAUAGAGCCUUCCCCUUCGGGGGACAAAGUGACAGGUGGUGCAUGGUUGUCGUCAGCUCGUGUCGUGAGAUGUUGGGUUAAGUCCCGCAACGAGCGCAACCCUUAAGCUUAGUUGCCAUCAUUAAGUUGGGCACUCUAAGUUGACUGCCGGUGACAAACCGGAGGAAGGUGGGGAUGACGUCAAAUCAUCAUGCCCCUUAUGAUUUGGGCUACACACGUGCUACAAUGGACAAUACAAAGGGCAGCGAAACCGCGAGGUCAAGCAAAUCCCAUAAAGUUGUUCUCAGUUCGGAUUGUAGUCUGCAACUCGACUACAUGAAGCUGGAAUCGCUAGUAAUCGUAGAUCAGCAUGCUACGGUGAAUACGUUCCCGGGUCU